UGUCUUUUAGUUUAUUAUUUAAAGUCUAAUCUGCUCACUGAAUAAUUUUAAAGAGCCGCAGUAUUUUGACUGUGCAAAGGUAGCAUAAUCAAUAGUUUUUUAAUUGAAAACUUGUAUGAAAGAUUGGACGAAAAAUUGAUUUUUUUCAUUUUUAAGAUUGAAUUUAAAUUUUAAGUGAAAAUUCUUAAAUAAAUUAAAAAGACGAGAAGACCCUAUAGAUUUUUAUUAAUUUAAUUUAUUUUAUAAUAUAUAAAUGAAAAUUAAUUUAAUUGGGGUGAUUUUGUAAUAAAAUAAACUUAAUUUAUAUAAACCAAAAAUAAAUGAAUUUUUAGAUUUAAAAUUUUUAAAGAAAAGAUUAAAUUACCUUAGGGAUAACAGCGUAAUUUUAUUUACGAGUUCAUAUCUAUAAUAAAGUUUGCGACCUCGAUGUUGAAUUAAGAUAAAAUAUUGGAGUAGAAAUUAAUAUUAUUAGUCUGUUCGACUAUUAAAUUC
rnacentral:rRNA from 1 species